rnacentral:rRNA from 1 species
AAGGUGACGGUACCUGCAGAAGAAGCGCCGGCUAACUACGUGCCAGCAGCCGCGGUAAUACGUAGGGCGCAAGCGUUAUCCGGAAUUAUUGGGCGUAAAGAGCUCGUAGGCGGUUUGUCGCGUCUGCCGUGAAAGUCCGGGGCUCAACUCCGGAUCUGCGGUGGGUACGGGCAGACUAGAGUGAUGUAGGGGAGACUGGAAUUCCUGGUGUAGCGGUGAAAUGCGCAGAUAUCAGGAGGAACACCGAUGGCGAAGGCAGGUCUCUGGGCAUUAACUGACGCUGAGGAGCGAAAGCAUGGGGAGCGAACAGGAUUAGAUACCCUGGUAGUCCAUGCCGUAAACGUUGGGCACUAGGUGUGGGGGACAUUCCACGUUUUCCGCGCCGUAGCUAACGCAUUAAGUGCCCCGCCUGGGGAGUACGGCCGCAAGGCUAAAACUCAAAGGAAUUGACGGGGGCCCGCACAAGCGGCGGAGCAUGCGGAUUAAUUCGAUGCAACGCGAAGAACCUUACCAAGGCUUGACAUGAACCGGAAAGANCUGGAAACAGGUCCCCCACUUGUGGUCGGUUUACAGGUGGUGCAUGGUUGUCGUCAGCUCGUGUCGUGAGAUGUUGGGUUAAGUCCCGCAACGAGCGCAACCCUCGUUCUAUGUUGCC